UGGCACACAACUAGCCUUACUGAAAGAUGAAAUGAGUAAAUAAUUGGCUGCAGAUUCAAUAAGUCUUUGGUACGUAAGGGAAGAAAACAGGCUGUGGACCCAACCGUGGAACCAGAACCAAAUCCUACAGGAUUCCCAAAAGAAAUAGGUUUCCAGAUAACAGAAUGUCCUAAACCACCCAGCCAAGGAGGGAUUGCUGUUUGCAAAACAGAAGUCAGCUGCCACGUUGUGGGGACUCUCAAGUGGAACUGUGGAAAGGCCAUGAGGAAAGGAACCAGCUUGCUAGACAUGGACGACCCACCUUGAAAGUAAAUCCUCCAGUACCAUCAAACCUCCAGAUGAAUGCAGACCCAGCAACUUUGUGAGAGACCUCAAGCAUGACCUGCCCAACCAAGAUGGUCCUGAAUUCCUGACCCAUCAAAACCACAAGAGAUAAUAAAGAAUUAUCA